rnacentral:rRNA from 1 species
UACGUAGGGGGCUAGCGUUGUCCGGAUUUAUUGGGCGUAAAGAGCGUGUAGGCGGCCAGGUAGGUCCGUUGUGAAAACUCGAGGCUCAACCUCGAGACGUCGGCGGAAACCAUCUGGCUAGAGUCCGGAAGAGGAGAGUGGAAUUCCUGGUGUAGCGGUGAAAUGCGCAGAUAUCAGGAGGAACACCGAUGGCGAAGGCAGGUCUCUGGGCAUUAACUGACGCUGAGGAGCGAAAGCAUGGGGAGCGAACAGG